GUCCAAGAGGCUCUACGUAUCUACUAUCUCUUUAACUCUGUGUUGCUAUCAGCAAUGUUCAUUGUAUCCGUAAUUGGUAUAAUAACGUGUAGACUUCAGAAGGGUUCUUCGUUUGAUGAUAAAUCCAAAAGUGUAGUUAGAAAUCUUGACAUUACUCUACUCAUGGGAAGCUCCUGUGGAACGUUGAUGGUAUCCAUUUUUUCAUUAGUUGCCAUCUUUUUUCUGCACAUGGAAGGGAAUACCUACAUCUUAGAUCUCUGUUUCUCUAUUUGUAAAACAGUCCAGGUUCUUGGCCAAAAUCUCUUCAUAACAGAGGCUCUUUAUUCUGGACCGGUUAAAAAUAGAAAUGCUACGUCAAGAACUUGGAUCUACUCCAUAUCUCAAGAUCCAGCUAAUGAAAUGAUGGAAGCUGGAGCCAGCAAUAAAACGACGGAGUUUGAUAGCAAAAUAACUUUUUCAGAGCACAAGACCAAUGUAAAAACUGUAUCAGAUGGGGGCAGAGAUGCUCCAAAGUGCUUAUUAGUUGGCAGUAAACUUACAGAUUUGUCUCAACAAAGGCACACCAUAAAGGAAGAGGGAGAGCAGACAUUUUUUAGAACCAGGAGAAAGAUACUGCAAAAUAUCUCAAUUCUCUUGAUCUGCUACAAUAUAUCGGUGAGUACACUAUGAGGUUGUGGAGAACAGACUCCCCAAUAACCUGCUUAUGUGAUAAUCCUGUAUUUUAAUGUUAUGGACAGAGAGUCUGGGAGGAGUUAGGAGAGGGCUCAUAAAGACUGCAGACAAGAGACCCCAAUGAGAGGGGAGGGGGAGUUAUAAUUGCACACAUGAUUUCAUUGGGUUUAUAUCUACUAACCAGUUUUUGUUUUAAUUAUUUUUUUAUUUGGGCAGUGUAAUGUCCCUUUACAAGCCAAUGAGGCAAAUCUACGAGACUUAUUAGCUUGGAUAAACAGCACAGCUGAUUCACCCCUUCAGGAUGAAAAUGAUGAGAGCAAUUGAAAUGAUUUGCUCUUCUUUCUCAGUACCAAACUUGCAGUGAUGGGCACUAGGUGGUUUACUUGGUUGUAAAUGUGUGUUCGGAACCUUCUACAAAUCAUCAUCAGUCUAAAUAUAAAUCCUAUUUACCCAUUAAUAUUCUGCUAAGCUGACAUGUAAGUCAAACCAAAUGUUUAUAAAAUCAAUGAAAACCCUGUUCCCCUCUCGGCUGAUGGAACGUAGAUUAACCAGAGCCCACUAGAUAAUUUCUUGUAAUUCAGACUUACACGAUCCAUCUAGUUGAAUAAUAUAAAUAUUUAGCUAGAAAGGGUGCAUUGAGCUUGAACUCAUCCUCGUACCCUGAUAUUACCCAGCUCAAUAGCACUUGUAUCAACCUUGGAUGGCUGAAAGGAGUGGAGCUUACCGGGAAAACAUGAAGCAGCAUUUUCAUGAUAGAAGCAUGAUAUUUAAUUAAUCAAUGGAAUCCUGUUUUUGUUUUAAUGUUUGCAAAUUACAAUGAUGUCUCUCUUUAUAUUUUACAGGUAUGGAUCCUAUAUGCGUAUGGAAC